rnacentral:rRNA from 1 species
UUGACCUCAAAUCAGGUAGGACUACCCGCUGAACUUAAGCAUAUCAAUAAGCGGAGGAAAAGAAACUAACAAGGAUUCCCCUAGUAACUGCGAGUGAAGCGGGAAAAGCUCAAAUUUAAAAUCUGGCGGUUCUUGACCGUCCGAGUUGUAAUCUAGAGAAGUGUUACCUGUGCUGGACCGUGUACAAGUCUCCUGGAAUGGAGCAUCAUAGAGGGUGAGAAUCCCGUCUUUGACAUGGACUGCCUGCAUGUUGUGGUGCGCUCUCGAAGAGUCGAGUUGUUUGGGAAUGCAGCUCAAAACGGGUGGUAAAUGCCAUCUAAAGCUAAAUAUUGGCGAGAGACCGAUAGCGAACAAGUACCGUGAGGGAAAGAUGAAAAGAACUUUGGAAAGAGAGUUAAACAGUACGUGAAAUUGCUGAAAGGGAAACGCUUGAAGUCAGUCGCGUUGGCUAGAAAUCAGCCUUGCUUUUGCUUGGUGUACUUUCUUGUCGACGGGUCAGCAUCAGUUUCGACCGCUGGAUAAGGACUUUGGGAAUGUGGCAUCUUUGGAUGUGUUAUAGCCCAUUGUCGCAUACGGUGGUGGGGAUUGAGGAACUCAGCACGCCGCAAGGCCGGGUCUCUGACCACGCUCGUGCUUAGGAUGCUGGCAUAAUGGCUUUAAUCG